rnacentral:rRNA from 1 species
ACACUGUUCAUGUGGGCAGCAGCACAUGAGAAAUCAAAGUCUUUGGGUUCCGGGGGGAGUAUGGUCGCAAGGCUGAAACUUAAAGGAAUUGACGGAAGGGCACCACCAGGAGUGGAGCCUGCGGCUUAAUUUGACUCAACACGGGAAAACUUACCAGGUCCAGACAUAGGAAGGAUUGACAGAUUGAGAGCUCUUUCUUGAUUCUAUGG